rnacentral:misc_RNA from 1 species
CAGAGAACAUCGCCCGCGAGGGUGACUCUCCAACCCUAUGUUAAUUAUACCUUUGUUGCUUUGGCGAGCCGCUCCGGCCACCGGCUUCUAGCUGGUGAGUGCUCGCCAGAGGACCCUAAACUCUGUUUAUACAUGUCGUCUGAGUACUAUGUAAUAGUUA